rnacentral:rRNA from 1 species
GACGUAGGGCGCGAGCGUUGUCCGGAUUUAUUGGGCGUAAAGAGCUCGUAGGCGGCUUGUCGCGUCGACUGUGAAAUCCCGCGGCUCAACCGCGGGCUUGCAGCCGAUACGGGCAGACUAGAGUGUGGUAGGGGAGACUGGAAUUCCUGGUGUAGCGGUGAAAUGCGCAGAUAUCAGGAGGAACACCGGUGGCGAAGGCGGGUCUCUGGGCCAUUACUGACGCUGAGGAGCGAAAGCGUGGGGAGCGAACAGG